AUUGAACGCUGGCGGAAUGCUUUACACAUGCAAGUCGAGCGGCAGCGCGGCCUUCGGGCUGGCGGCGAGCGGCGAACGGGUGAGUAAUGCAUCGGAACAUGCCCAGUCGUGGGGGAUAACACUUCGAAAGAAGUGCUAAUACCGCAUACGUCCUGAGGGUGAAAGCGGGGGAUCGCAAGACCUCGCGCGAUUGGAGUGGCCGAUGUCAGAUUAGCUAGUUGGUUGGGCAAAGGCCUACCAAGGCGACGAUCUGUAGCUGGUCUGAGAGGAUGAUCAGCCACACUGGGACUGAGACACGGCCCAGACUCCUACGGGAGGCAGCAGUGGGGAAUUUUGGACAAUGGGGGCAACCCUGAUGCAGCCAUUCCGCGUGAGUGAAGAAGGCCUUCGGGUUGUAAAGCUCUUUCGGCAGGAACGAAACGGUGGGCUCUAACAUAGUCCGCUAAUGACGGUACCUGAAGAAGAAGCACCGGCUAACUACGUG
rnacentral:rRNA from 1 species